rnacentral:lncRNA from 1 species
CAACACAGUACAGACGGAAGUCCCGCCUUCGCGGGAAUCCCAUGUGGCUUCGGCCUUAGGGAUAUGUGAACCUGGUGGUGAAUGUGAACAUGUGAAUGAACAUUUAAACUAAUGGUUACAUUUAUGAUAAUCCAGCCAAUCUCAAUUGAUUGGAUAUCAUUGUUUCAUUCAAUUUAAUAAGUCAAAUUGUCGAACAUACCUUUUCAGGUUCUUCCAAUUAAAUUUGAUAUUAUAAACUUUCCCAUAUUAACCUAGACAAGCCAACUUCUCAGGUUAAUUAAAGUUUAAUUCCCGGAUAGCCUAUCCAUAACGAUUAAUCAUUAUCAUUGAUUAAUCAAUUCAAUUUGCUUUUGCAAUUGAUUCAUGUUCAGCUCCCACAUUACGGAUACAGUAUUGAUGGUUCAUUAACAUCUAUAAAUAGAUUAAAAUCAUCUUUGCAGCUUCCAACAAAUCAAAACCUUGAAAAAAUAUGAAACAUUUCCUCUCAAAUGUUCUAAUAAUGGUCAAGCUAUCAGAGGGGGUUGUCCCUACUCCCCAGCUAAUUAGUGAACCCUCACCCAUAAAAGGAUUGAUCACUGACCUCAGCAGCGAUACAAACCCUAAUUAUGCCAUUAGCGGAAAAACAGCAGAAAUUGCGAACAACGCUCUCCAAAAUCAACCAUCAAACGCAGACUUUGUAGUGGUUCUCUCCACUUUAGCCCUUAUGUAUCACCAUCAAAUAUUGGCAUCGGUCCAGUACCGCAGUGCUUACCAGAAGCACGUGCAAGACAUGGCUGACAUGAAGGGACAGGUGGAGAGAACUGAGCAACUAUUGACAAAAGCAGGAAAUGAAAACAUUCUGCUAGCCGAGGAACUGCAUUUGAAAUCUGAACAAUUAAAAGUAAUUGCAAAUACUUAUGACAAUGAACGAGCACAAACUCGUCAACAAAAUCAUUUUCUACAGGAACAACUUCAUUUAGCCAAAAGUAAAUACGAUGUAGUCCACUCCAAACUGGAUAAAUCUGUUGAGUUAUCUACAAACAGGAGCGCGCAAUUUGAUAACAUGCAGGCAGUUUUGUUGAACGUUACUCAAGGUAACAAUGUUCUACUCCAAAUGCUGCAGAUCAAAGACAAUCAGUUUAUGAACACAAUGACUAAGUUGGAUGACAAAUCAGCAGAACUCAUUGAAGUCACUGACCAAAUGAAUGAUGAGAGAACUCAAGUGAUGAAGAUGGAAAUAUUGAGAUCUAAGCAAAGGGAGGAAAUCUCAUCACUGAAUCUCUCACUCCAUACUCAAGACCUCUAUCUGCAAACCAUGACAGAUAAGUAUGAGACCGAAAGGAGCAAGUGCAACACUCAUGUGUCCAAAAUCAGUACUCUAAGUGCUCAAGUGGACUCUGCAAUGCAGCAGAAUACCACCCUUAGGUACAAUCUAGUGGAAUUCCAGAACGGUCACGUGCUACAGCGUGACUACUCAACCAAGCAACCGGAGCCCGG